CUUCCCAGCGGAUUGACAGGGAGCGCCGGCGCAGUCCGUGGGAGAGCGUACCAGAACACGGUUCCUGCGACUUUAAGAUGUAAACGAUUCAUGGAGUGCUUCGUGGAACAUUAGUGUUUGGAAGUGAUCAGGGAAGAUAACGCCACGGAUUUUUCUUGGUGCCACUGUCAGAAUCAGCUGGCAGCGUUCCAAGUUCAUUAGACCCUCAACAUGUUUGUUGAUGAUGGAUGUGCGUGGAGCCACACUAAGGUGGAAAUUCAUGUUUUCGUAAGUGGCCAAGACAUGGAAACAAGCAGAUGAUUGG